rnacentral:rRNA from 1 species
CCUACGGGGGGCAGCAGUGGGGGAUAUUGCACAAUGGGGGAAACCCUGAUGCAGCGACGCCGCGUGGGUGAAGAAGCGCCUCGGCGCGUAAAGCCCUGUCAGCAGGGAAGCAAAUGACGGUACCUGAAGAAGAAGCCACGGCUACCUACGUGCCAGCAGCCGCGGUAAUACGUAGGGGGCAAGCAUUAUCCGGGUUUACUGGGUGUAAAGGGGGCGCAGACGGCGAUGCAAGCCAGGAGGUAAGGCCCGGGGACCAACCCCGGGACUGCCGUUGGAACUGCGGGGCUAGAGUGCAGGAGGGGCAGGCGGAAUGCGUGGUGUAGCGGUGAAAUGCGUAGAUAUCAGGAGGAACACCGGUUGCGAAGGCGGCCUGCUGGACUGCAACUGACGUUGAGGCCCGAAAGCGUGGGGAGCAAACAGGAUUAGAUACCCCGGUAGUC